rnacentral:rRNA from 1 species
GAUAAACGCUGGCGGCGUGCUUAACACAUGCAAGUCGAACGGAGUACUUCUCCCGAGACCGAGGAAGCUUGCUUCCAAAGAAUCAUUUGAAGUACUUAGUGGCGGACGGGUGAGUAACGCGUGGGUAACCUGCCUCACACAGGGGGAUAACAGUUGGAAACGACUGUUAAUACCGCAUAAGCGCACAGUAUCGCAUGAUACAGUGUGAAAAACUCCGGUGGUGUGAGAUGGACCCGCGUCUGAUUAGCUAGUUGGUGAGGUAACGGCCCACCAAGGCGACGAUCAGUAGCCGGCCUGAGAGGGUGUACGGCCACAUUGGGACUGAGACACGGCCCAAACUCCUACGGGAGGCAGCAGUGGGGAAUAUUGCACAAUGGGGGAAACCCUGAUGCAGCGACGCCGCGUGAGCGAUGAAGUAUUUCGGUAUGUAAAAGCUCUAUCAGCAGGGA